CAUCGCAAGCAGUGGUGUAGUCACUGUAAAAGCACCACACACCGGGACGCAACCUGCAGACGGAAACAGCGGCGGGACGACGCACGACAAGUUUCCGGGGAGAUUAACAACAAGGAAUAUGCAUUCCUGCUGGGCAACCUAAAACUGAAAGAGGAAACUUCGAGUGCUGAACCGAAGGAAGCAAAUGUAAAACAAGAUCCUUCAGAUAAAGUGGAGAAAACCAAUAAACCAGACAAAAGUGGUGAUAAUGCAGACGUCAAGCCGGAUGAAGAUGACAGAGAGGACAAGGCUGCGCAGUCCCUGUUGAAUAAGCUCAUCCGCAGUAACCUGGUUCAAUCUUCACACCAGGUUGAAGUGCUGCAAAGAGAUCCAAACUCCCCUCUCUACUCAGUGAAGUCCUUCGAAGAGCUGCAUUUGAAAAAAGAUCUUCUGCAAGGCGUGUAUGGAAUGGGAUUUAAUAGACCUUCGAAGAUCCAGGAGACGGCAUUACCCAUGAUGCUGGCAGAGCCCCCGCAGAAUCUGAUUGCUCAGUCUCAGUCGGGCACCGGGAAGACAGCUGCCUUUGUUCUGGCCAUGCUCAGUCGAGUGGAUCUGUCCCAAAGGCAUCCACAGUGCUUGUGCCUUUCCCCAACCUAUGAGCUGGCUUUGCAGACUGGACAAGUGAUUGAACAGAUGGGAAAAUUCAGUCCUGAUAUCAAGUUGGCAUACGCUGUGCGAGGAAAUAGACUUGAGAAAGGCCAGAGGAUUUCAGAACAGAUCGUUAUUGGAACACCCGGGACUGUGAUGGACUGGUGUACAAAGCUGCGGUUCAUAGAUACCAAGAAGAUUAAAGUUUUUGUCCUGGAUGAAGCUGAUGUCAUGAUCGCCACCCAAGGACACCAAGACCAGAGCAUUAGAAUUCAGAAGAUGCUGCCCAACAAUUGCCAGAUGCUGCUAUUUUCAGCCACGUUUGAAGACUCUGUAUGGAAAUUUGCCCAGAAAGUUGUUCCCGAUCCGAACAUUAUCGAGUUGAAGCGAGAGGAGGAAACCUUGGACACAAUUAAGCAAUAUUACGUUAUGUGUAAUAGCAAGGAAGAGAAAUACCAUGCCCUGUGUAAUAUUUACGGAGCAAUAACCAUAGCUCAGGCCAUGAUCUUCUGCCAUACCCGCAGGACAGCUGGUUGGCUGGCAGCGGAAUUGUCCAAAGAAGGUCAUCAAGUAGCUCUGCUGAGUGGAGAGAUGAUGGUGGAACAACGAGCUGCCGUGAUCCAGCGUUUCCGGGACGGGAAAGAAAAAGUCCUGGUCACGACUAAUGUCUGUGCAAGAGGUAUUGAUGUGGAGCAAGUUUCUGUCGUCAUCAACUUUGAUCUUCCGGUGGAUAAGGACGGUAAUCCAGACUGCGAGACAUAUCUUCACCGGAUCGGGCGAACAGGCCGCUUCGGCAAGCGAGGGUUGGCUAUCAACAUGGUGGACAGCAAAUACAGCAUGAAUAUCCUGAACCGGAUCCAGGAGCAUUUCAAUAAGAAAAUUGAAAAGCUUGAUACUGAUGACCUUGAUGAAAUUGAGAAGAUCACCAACUGAGGUACAACUGGCUGAAGUCAUUCAAGCCCGUCUCAACCCUGUGACAACGUGCACUGCCCAGAUGCAAUUGGACUUUUGGACGCGGUUUAUUCUGUAGCCAAUUUUGAGAAUAAACUGAUAGAAUCAAAUGACAUUCAAUUUACCUCAUCUAAAACUUUGCAUUGGGAUUUUGUAUCUUCGAAGGAGUGAAUAAUAAAAAAAAAACGCUAGUGUUUCCAUUAAAACAUUCAGCAUACUCUAUAUAUUUUGUCUUAGUUAACCUUAAAAAGAAUAUUUGAAAUGCCAAACAACAGAAAAAGGUGAGAGGUGUAAAUGUGAAGCAGUGACCAUUUCAGUUUAGAUGCUGUUCAUUUAUAUGAUGGUGCGUUACAAACAUAGAUUUAAGUUUAUUUGGAAAUGAAAUGUUACUGACAUAUUGAAACAAGAUAUGUUAUCUUAAAUAAAUUUAACAAGACUUCGUUAUUUAGCAUAUGAAUUACAGAAUGUCAUUUAUUCUCACCAAUUUGAGGUGGUCAUCCAUUAGUUUGUGUAAUCUGGUUGAUUUCAGGGAUAGUAAUUUUUUUUCCCCCUCUGAUCCCUUGCCCUGGGCUCAAAGUUAUGUAGUGACUCACUCAUUUCUGUAGACUGAGAUAAGCAAGAAUAAAACUUCCUCCUCUGUAACGUUCAGUCAUUUGGAAACCUCCAAACUUGCUUUGCAGCCUCAAGCAAAUCAAAUAAUCCCUCUUAACAUAGACACAGAAAGCUGGAUUACUCUAUGCACUUCAGAAUUCAUUAUGCUUUUAGGGUCUAUCUUUGGUUUAAACCAGCAUCUGCAACUCCUUCUUCACACUAGUGCUUUGACCAAAUAGGAAUACUAGUUGCUUAAUAGAGUAGCAUCCAGAAUUAACUUUCAAAGUGGAUGUGUUUUAGAUGACCCAGGUAUCUGAUUAAACUCUCCCUAAAUUUUGUGUAAGAGGCAUUAUUGCUGGGCAGAAGUAACUUUGAAUUAAAUAUUGCAGAAUUUAAAUGUGAAUCCUGAAUUAAACUGUUUGAAUAAGUAGUCUAGAGCAGCAUGUAAAAUGACUUGCUUGGUUUCAGAGUCAAUAGUUGAUCGGAAUAGCUGCACUAAAUAAACAUUCUGUAUAAUUGCUUGGAAUUUCAACUGGUGCAAGUUAAAUAUCUGCAUAAAUGAAAUGCAUCAUAGUCAGAUCUUGGAUAUACCACUUAAUGCUUGUAUAGCAUAUAAGCGAGAAACUGCUCCGGGUUUUUAAGCUGGAUAUAUACAGUACCCUCCUUAAUGUUUGUGACAAAGACCCAUCAUUUAUUUAUUUGCCUCUGUAUUCCACAAUUUAAGAUUUGUAAUAGAACAAAAUCACGUGGUUAAGGUGCACAUUGUCAGAUUUUAAUAAAGGGUAUUUUUAUACAUUUUGGUUUCACCAUGUAGAAAUUACAGCAGUGUUUAUACAUAGUCCCCCCCCAUUUCAGGGCACCAUAAUGUUUGGGACACAGCAGUAUCAUGUAAAGUAGUCAUGUGUAGUAUUUUAUUGCAUAUCCUUUGCAUGCAAUGACUGCUUGAAGUUUACGAUUCAUGGACAUCACCAGUUGCUGGGUGUCGUCUCUGGUGGUGCUCUGUCAGGCCUGUAUUGCAGCCAUCUUCAGCUUAUGCUUGUUUUGGGGGCUAGUCCCCUUCAGUUUUCUGUUCAGCAUUUAAAAGGCAUGCUCAAUUGGGUUCAGAUCGGGUGAUUGACUUGCCCACUCAAGAAUUUACCAUUUUUUGGCUUUGGAAAAACUCCUUUGUUGCUUUAGCAGUAUGUUUGGGAUCAUUGUCUUGCUGUACAAUGAACCGCUGGCCAAUGAAUUUUGAGGCAUUUGUUUGAACUUGAGCAGAUAGGAUGUGUCCAUACACUUCAGAUUUCAUUAUGCUCCUACCAUCAGCAGUUGUAUCGUCAAUGAAGAUAAGUGAGCCAGUACCUUCAGCAGCCAUACAUGCCCAGGCCAUAACACCCCCACCACCGUGUUUCACAGAUGAGAUGGUAUGCUUUGGAUCUUGGGCAGCUCCUUCUCUCCUCCAUACUUUGCUCUUGCCAUGACUCUGAUAUGUUAAUCUUUGUCUCUUCUGUCCACAAGACCUUUUUCCAGAACUGUGGUUGCUCUUGUAAGUGCUUCUUGGUAAACUGUAACCUGGCCAUCCUAUUUUUGCGGCUAACCAGUGGUUUGCAUCUUGCAGUGUCGCCUCUGUAUUUCUGUUCAUGAAAUCCUUUGCGGACAGUGGGCAUUGACAGAUCCACACCUGACUCCUGAAGAGUGUUUCUGAUCUGUCGGACAGGUUUUUGGGUUUUUUUUUUAAAUUAUAGAGAGAAUUCUUCUGUCAUCAGCUGUAGAGGUCUUCCUUGGCCUGCCAGUCCCUUUGCGAUUAGUAAGCUCACCAGUGUUCUUUUUCUUCUUAAUGAAGUUCCAAACAGUUGGUAUUGGUAAGCCUAAGGUUUGGCUGAUGUCUCUUAACAGUUUUAUUCGUUUUUCUCAUCCUCAUAAUAGCUUAUUUGACUUUCACUGGCACAACUUUGGUCCUCAUGUUGAUAAACAGCAAUAAAUGUUUCCAAAGGUGAUGGAAAGACUGGAGGAAAGACUAGGUGCUGAGAGCUCCCUUAUACCUGCAUUAAGGAAGACAUUUAAACACACCUGAGCAAUUACAAAAACCAGUGAAGCCAUGUGUCCCAAACAUUAUGGUCCUUGAAAUGAGGGGACUUAUGUAAUUUCUACAUGAUGAAACCAAAAUGUAUAAAAAUACCCUUUAAUAAAAUCUGACAAUGUGCACUUUAACCACAUGUGAUUUUUUUUUUUCUAUUGCAAAUCUCAAAUUGUGGAGUACAGAGACAAAUAAAUAAAUGAUUGGUCUUUGGCCCAAACAUUAUGGAGGGCACUAGCUUUAGUAGACCUGUGUUCUCACAUUACAUGUGAUUGUUCUCCAUUUUAAGCUUAUGUAAGCCAAUUGACUUGUGAGACUAUAUUUGCCAUGCACUGUAUGUUACUGUACAAGAGGCAGCUGGGGAAAUCAAUGACAUUUUCAAGCGCUGUGACACAAUAAUUAAGUCAGAUUUCUGCCAUUAUGUUAUAACCCAUUUAUACAAGUUACUCCAUUUAACUUUCCAGUCGGACACAUUUGUACACACAGCAACUAUUUUUAAACCAUUUUGCCAAUACAAUUCUUUGAUCCCUCAACAUGAAUCGGGAAGUCAGUAUUUUUAUUUUUCUACUUGAAAUCUGGCAACCAGAGAUUGGGUCAUUUCUUGUGCUUUGUCCCGUCUUGAACCUUUAUACUCUAGAGCCGGUGCACAUAGGUAGUCUGUACUUUGCCAUUGCAGUGUUUAGAAACAACUGCUUUGACCAGCAUAGCAGUUCUUCAGUCUAAAAUCAGAAAGGGAAUUGUGGUUUGGCAAUCAAUUAUUUGCAAUAUAUGGCUAGCUGGUGAGACACUUGCUGCUUGUAUUCCACAAGAAAUGUUUUCAAUUUGUGACUUGCAGCUCUACAGUGAGUGGGAUCCAUUUUAACAAUCACUCCUCACACUGGAACGGUUUCAAAUCUGUUAUAUGCUGGAAUUGGGGAGAGCAGUGAUGAAAGUAUUAAAAUAGGCAAAACCUGAACUGCAAUCUUAUGCAACAUUAUUGGCUGUGAAAUUCUGUUCAAAUGCAGGAAUAAAUUAAUACUUUUACCGGGUAAAAAUUAUUAAAACUAAUCUGAUGUUGUACCUAAAGUUUUAGGUGAAUUUGACAAUGCCCUCUCCACAUGUGUUACAGCUUUACCUUAAAUUGGGUGUGCAGUUUCAGUUACUCUGUUGAAUUUUAUACUAUGGGGCAUAUGCAUUUGUGCACAGUGCAUUUUUAUUUGAAUUGGAUUGUAUUGAAAAUAUUUAAAAGAGAAAUGAAUGAGUGUCAUGAAUAAAUUGAGAGUGAAAUGCCUGUAAUUUUUCAAAUUGUAAUAGAUUGUUUAGCAGCCCUGACAAUGGAGAUGGCUAAUGCUGCUUCUGGUUUCCACAUUAUUCCUAUGUACUAAUUGGAAUAAAGAAUAAGGACAUCAA